rnacentral:rRNA from 1 species
AGGGCGCACGGUGGAUGCCUUGGCACUAGAAGCCGAUGAAGGACGUUACUAACGACGAUAUGCUUUGGGUAGCUGUAAGUAAGCGUUGAUCCAGAGAUUUCCGAAUGGGGGAACCCAGCAUGAGUUAUGUCAUGUUAUCGACAUGUGAAUUCAUAGCAUGUCAGAAGGCAGACCCGGAGAACUGAAACAUCUUAGUACCCGGAGGAAGAGAAAGAAAAAUCGAUUCCCUGAGUAGCGGCGAGCGAAACGGGAAGAGCCCAAACCAACAAGCUUGCUUGUUGGGGUUGUAGGACACUCUAUACGGAGUUACAAAAGAACAUGUUAGACGAAUCAUCUGGAAAGAUGAAUCAAAGAAGGUAAUAAUCCUGUAGUCGAAAACAUAUUCUCUCUUGAGUGGAUCCUGAGUACGACGGAGCACGUGAAAUUCCGUCGGAAUCUGGGAGGACCAUCUCCUAAGGCUAAAUACUCUCUAGUGACCGAUAGUGAACCAGUACCGUGAGGGAAAGGUGAAAAGUACCCCGGAAGGGGAGUGAAAGAGAACUUGAAACCGUGUGCUUACAAGUAGUCAGAGCCCGUUAAUGGGUGAUGGCGUGCCUUUUGUAGAAUGAACCGGCGAGUUACGAUCUGAUGCAAGGUUAAGCAGCAAAUGUGGAGCCGCAGCGAAAGCGAGUCUGAAUAGGGCGUUGAGUAUUUGGUCGUAGACCCGAAACCAGGUGAUCUACCCUUGGUCAGGUUGAAGUUCAGGUAACACUGAAUGGAGGACCGAACCGACUUACGUUGAAAAGUGAGCGGAUGAACUGAGGGUAGCGGAGAAAUUCCAAUCGAACUUGGAGAUAGCUGGUUCUCUCCGAAAUAGCUUUAGGGCUAGCCUCAAGUGAUGAUUAUUGGAGGUAGAGCACUGUUUGGACGAGGGGCCCCUCUCGGGUUACCGAAUUCAGACAAACUCCGAAUGCCAAUUAAUUUAACUUGGGAGUCAGAACAUGGGUGAUAAGGUCCGUGUUCGAAAGGGAAACAGCCCAGACCACCAGCUAAGGUCCCAAAAUAUAUGUUAAGUGGAAAAGGAUGUGGCGUUGCCCAGACAACUAGGAUGUUGGCUUAGAAGCAGCCAUCAUUUAAAGAGUGCGUAAUAGCUCACUAGUCGAGUGACACUGCGCCGAAAAUGUACCGGGGCUAAACAUAUUACCGAAGCUGUGGAUUGUCCUUUGGACAAUGGUAGGAGAGCGUUCUAAGGGCGUCGAAGCAUGAUCGCAAGGACAUGUGGAGCACUUAGAAGUGAGAAUGCCGGUGUGAGUAGCGAAAGACGGGUGAGAAUCCCGUCCACCGAUUGACUAAGGUUUCCAGAGGAAGGCUCGUCCGCUCUGGGUUAGUCGGGUCCUAAGCUGAGGCCGACAGGCGUAGGCGAUGGAUAACAGGUUGAUAUUCCUGUACCACCUAGUAUCGUUUUAAGCGAUGGGGGGACGCAGUAGGAUAGGCGAAGCGUGCUGUUGGAGUGCACGUCCAAGCAGUAAGGCUGAGUGUUAGGCAAAUCCGGCACUCAUAAGGCUGAGCUGUGAUGGGGAGAGGAAAUUGUUUCCUCGAGUCGUUGAUUUCACACUGCCGAGAAAAGCCUCUAGAUAGAUAACAGGUGCCCGUACCGCAAACCGACACAGGUAGUCAAGAUGAGAAUUCUAAGGUGAGCGAGAGAACUCUCGUUAAGGAACUCGGCAAAAUGACCCCGUAACUUCGGGAGAAGGGGUGCUCUUUAGGGUUCACGCCCAGAAGAGCCGCAGUGAAUAGGCCCAAGCGACUGUUUAUCAAAAACACAGGUCUCUGCUAAACCGUAAGGUGAUGUAUAGGGGCUGACGCCUGCCCGGUGCUGGAAGGUUAAGAGGAGUGGUUAGCUUCUGCGAAGCUACGAAUCGAAGCCCCAGUAAACGGCGGCCGUAACUAUAACGGUCCUAAGGUAGCGAAAUUCCUUGUCGGGUAAGUUCCGACCCGCACGAAAGGCGUAACGAUUUGGGCACUGUCUCAACGAGAGACUCGGUGAAAUCAUAGUACCUGUGAAGAUGCAGGUUACCCGCGACAGGACGGAAAGACCCCGUGGAGCUUUACUGUAGCCUGAUAUUGAAAUUCGGCACAGCUUGUACAGGAUAGGUAGGAGCCUUUGAAACGUGAGCGCUAGCUUACGUGGAGGCGUUGGUGGGAUACUACCCUAGCUGUGUUGGCUUUCUAACCCGCACCACUUAUCGUGG